ACUAGUCUUUUAAUUGAAGACUUGUAUGAACGGUUGGACGAAAAAUAAACUGUCUUUGUUUGAGUAAAUUGAAUUUAACUUUUAAGUGAAAAGGCUUAAAUGAUCUAGAGGGACGAUAAGACCCUAUAAAACUUUACAUUAAAGUUAUUUAAAAAUUAUUUAGAUAAUAAGGUUUAUAAGUAAUAAGAUGUUUUGUUGGGGCGACAAGAAUAUAAUAAUAUAACUGUUCUUAAAUGUAAUCAAAAAUUUUUGAUUUAAUGAUCCUAAGUAAAGAUAUUAGAAUAAGUUACUUUAGGGAUAACAGCGUAAUUUUUUUAGAGAGUUCAUAUCGAUAAGAGAGUUUGCGACCUCGAUGUUGAAUUAAAGAAUCUUUAUAACGGAGAAGUUAUAGGAGAGGGUCUGUUCGACCUUUAAAUCUUUACAUGAUUUGAGUUCAAACCGG
rnacentral:rRNA from 1 species